UGCCGAAAAUUAUAAACAUGAGAAAUCAGCUGUUCUGUUGACAAGUCGGGAAAUACCUUAUUACCACAAAGGGGUUUGUGGAAUCUUUUUUCCAGAAGGCAGCAGAAUUCCAGGUUUGCCAUCGCCGUUAAUUCUCACCGGUAGAGAAGAACAAGGCGGCUGGAAGCGUACCAUUGCUGGCCGGAGUCUGGCUUAAAAAGAUGCGUUGGACAGCAUUGGACUAGCCAGCUCGGAGAUCGCACACUAGCCAUUCCACUGCGCAGAACGGUUCUCUCCUGAAGCAGGCAAUAUGAGUGAGCUCAUCUUUUUCAUGCAUGUACCUAGCAGUUCCAAGAAGAAUAAAUGCAAAACGACGAAAUAAAUAAAAUUACAAAGUGUUAA